rnacentral:lncRNA from 1 species
AUGAGGACAUUUGCAUAUAUAACGAAGAACCUUCACAGGUGUUGGAGAAACAGCUCCUCCUCUCAUUUCCCUCUCUUCUCUCCUGCCAGCUGCCACCCUGACCUGUGGCUUUGGGGGUGUGGGAUCCCUGCCCACUCAGCUGGGAGAUGUGCUGAGGAGUCCUGGGUGCAGGAAGUUGCGGUGGUUCCUGCCCUUGGGUCGGAAACAGGCAAGGUGAAAGCCCAUUGUGUCAGUGUGCUGGGACAGACCCAACUAUACGUGUACGUGUGUGAACAUCAGCCUGUGCACAAGCACAGAAAGAAGGUCAAGGUCAACACGCCGUCCCUGCCCAAGUGCUCUGCAGCUCCUGGUAACGUACGCAGCAGGGUCACCCGGGGAUGUGCCUGCUCCCCCUCACAUCUCUACUGAGUUAGGCCCGCCUCCUCCAGGAGGCCCUUUUGACUGCCUCAGCUUACAGCAACUUCCUCCUUAGCUCGGACCUCGACACGUGUAAGUCUUUCUACAGGUUGGGAUGGGAAGGCCUAUCCCCCCACUUCUGAGUCUCUCAAGGUGGGGCCGGUAUUUAUUCAUCUUUGUUUUCCCUGUGCCAACACAGCAUCGGUGUGUGUGAAUAGCUGAGAAUCUGGCUGUUCUCAGGGGAAGAGCAUUCAUCUGAAUUGGAUCAAGUCCCUCCUCUGGCUCUUCCUGGCUGUGUGACUCUGAGCAAGCAGCUCACCUUCUCUGGGCAUCAGUUUCCCAAUGCUAUCGUGAGGAGUUUUGGCUUCACUACUCUAAGAUUCUGUGUUUCUGUGGGGAUGAGGAUGGAGACAGACAGGCUCAGGUAGAUCCACAGAUAGCCUCUUUCAACAUGGAGGGCAGGAAGGCUGGGGGCGGUCACUAGAUCAACAGAAAUUAAACUCAAGAGUUCUUGACCCAGGAGAAAGCAGACUGAUGUCAGGUCGAGACAGAUCCAUGAGGUCUUGGACUACUUUUUCUUCUUGUGCUCUCGGUUUAUUCAUAUGAAAAAUAGGUCUGUGUUGCAGGCUCCUUUGGGGCAUUAGAGGAGAGGAAGUAGGUGGAAGCUGAAUUCAUGCGCACAGUACGUAUAGGACUCAGUUAUUGGGGAGCUGUGUGUCUGGGUCCCCUUCCCUUCCCAUUUCUCCUGGUCCAGGCUCUGUUCUGUUUUUGCUCUCCUUGAUUAUUGCCCGGGAGAACCCAUACUCACCUCUCCUCUAGUCAGCCAGGGGCUUGGCAUCAGGCCUUGGUGGGGUCCCUGGUCCGCGGCCUGCUGGGAGGGUCUGGGUUGCAGAACUCCCCAGUGAGCUUCCAGUUAGCGCCUCGGGUGGAGUCUCCUGUGCAAACGCUGCUAUGCAGGCGUCCUGAGAUUUCCCACCACUCUGGUUCCCAUAUCCCCAGCUCCCCUGCCUCC